ACAACUUUCAACAACGGAUCUCUUGGCUCUCGCAUCGAUGAAGAACGCAGCGAAAUGCGAUAAGUAAUGUGAAUUGCAGAAUUCAGUGAAUCAUCGAAUCUUUGAACGCAUCUUGCGCUCCUUGGUAUUCUGAGGAGCAUGCCUGUUUGAGUGUCAUUAAA
rnacentral:rRNA from 7 species